CCUGGAAGAGCUGGAGGAAUUGUCUCGGGAGAGGGAAGUCUGGGGGUCUCUGCUUAGACUGCUGCCCCGCGACCCGGCCCCGGAUAAGCGGUAGAAGAUGGACGAAUGGAUGGACGGAUGGAUGAUAAACUAGGGUGUGUGCUAAAGUUGACUUUCAUAAGGAAACCCCUGAGUGCCAUCCUAUAUAUAAAAAAAAAAACAUUGAGUAAACUUCGGUCUUUUGGUGAUCUGAGGGAUUUGGGUGACAUAUCAGAGCCGUCUUUUCUUAUGGCAUAUCGAGAUGUCUAUGAUCCACGUUACGAUCCCUGCAUGACCUGCCCACUGCCACUAACUGUUAUAGAUGACAACCAAAGGACUGGAACAUUGGUCAUUAAUUUUCCAGGAUUUCCAGGUUUUCCAGGACGUGUGGGAACCCUGAUGAAACGAGGAUCGAAGCCAGUUUGCAGCUUCUUUUGCUAACUUCUGGAAAAUUAAGGCUUCUCUGAGAAUGACGUCAGAGAAAGAAAACAACGUCUUCAUUUCUUAGCCUUCUACUAUUAUGGAAAUAUCUGCUGCAUCUACAGUCUGAAGGCCAGACACUGGAGCAGACUGAAAGGAAGAAAAGGAAGUCCGCUUGGCAUCACAGGAUGUGGGAUGCUAGAUUUCUCAUUGCUGUGAGAUUCUCUCACCGGCCUGUGAGGUUCCGCUACGAGCAUUGAUAGUGAGUUCAAUGUGUGUGAGCAGACUGGAAAGGAAAAAUAAAAUAAAAAUAUAAAUAAAGGAAAAAGAUUUACAUUAAUGAAGCUACCACCAGAAAUCAGAACUAUGAUUUAAAUUAGCUGUUGUACUUGUUUUGUUAUUAACUAGACCUUGGAUCUCUGGGAUUCACAUAAAACACAGACACACACACACACACACACACACACACACACACACACACACACACACACACACACACACACACACACACAGUACUCUUUUCACCAACAACAAGUAGUACUGUAUAAAAGCAUGUUGUUGAUUUUUAGCCAAACGAUGCUGCCACUCGCGGUACUCGAGACCUAAACCUAACUUUCUUCUUCUCUCCAUUUCUCUUUAUUGCUGAGUAAAAAACAAAAUGAGAUGCGGACUUCUCCGGUUUUCAUGUCUGCCAUGAUUGAUGGUAGCCAUUUUCCGUGCCAGCGCCUGACUUGCCCUCAGCUGGCAGUGCAGCUUUAAUGAGUCAUGAAUCUUGUUGGCCAACAUCUGCUUCUGCUAUAGUGGUGUUGAGUUUUAGUGCUUUUCUUCUGUUCAAGGCUCAAACAGGUGCAACAGAGACGAGGAAUCAUGAAUCAUACAGUACAAAAAAAAAUUGCCUUUGAAAUUUUACAAUCAUUAAAAUUUUAAAUUUUGAGAAUUGAAAAUUAAAAACAUUUUUUUAAAAAUUUUGAAACAUUUUGGAAAUUCCGUCAUGUAGCUACGAUGCUGCACACAUUCAUAUUUAUAACAUCUUAUCAGCCCUUAUGAACUUUUUUUUUUUUUUUUUAAUAUCCACAGCACUGUUGAAGUCUGAGAUCUCCUUUUCAGUUUAUUUCCAUAAACAGCACGGCUCAUAGAGAUGUUUCCAUCAAUCCACUCCAUCUAAUAUAUUACUGUUUCCAUAGUAACAACUUACACAGGAUUUGUAUAGUGGACGAUCCAUAUAAUCUAAUCAAAAUUUCCAGAAUGGGUUCAUGGUAUAAAGCUUAUACACACACACACACA